rnacentral:tRNA from 8 species
GGCGACAUAGCCAAGCGGUAAGGCAGAGGUCUGCAAAACCUCCAUUCCCCGGUUCAAAUCCGGGUGUCGCCU